CUCUGCUGCAAGCCUGCAUCAAGAACUGGGAGAUUCGAUGCAUGUCAGUGUCUUGGCGUUCCCAAGUUCCUUCCGAGCAGUGCUACUUAGACCAGAGCUGGAAGAGGAGAGUAUCAGGAACUUUGGCAGAGACUGCUUCAGCCAAUGAGAUCACUUGUCUUAAAAGGAGAUGACAGAAACCAUGGAGGUGUGAAGAAAGGCCACAAAAAUGAAGACUAGGUAUAGGACAAUAUCAUAAGAAAAGUGUUUGAAAAGACUUGGAUAACUGACAGUAUCUCAAUGGUAUGUAGA